UGGCGUGCUCACCACAGCAGCAUAAUUGGAGCAAUAAAGCUACGAUUAGCAUAGCCCUUGUAUAGGAUGACAUGCAGUUUUAUGAACUGUUCCACAGUUUU
rfam:Tupaia chinensis contig105022, whole genome shotgun sequence.